UGGGGAAUAUUGGACAAUGGGGGCAACCCUGAUCCAGCAAUGCCGCGUGUGUGAAGAAGGUCUUCGGAUUGUAAAGCACUUUCGACGGGGACGAUGAUGACGGUACCCGUAGAAGAAGCCCCGGCUAACUUCGUGCCAGCAGCCGCGGUAAUACGAAGGGGGCUAGCGUUGCUCGGAAUGACUGGGCGUAAAGGGCGUGUAGGCGGUUUACACAGUCAGAUGUGAAAUCCCCGGGCUUAACCU
rnacentral:rRNA from 1 species